rnacentral:lncRNA from 1 species
AAAUAUAGCACCCGCGAGCUCAGCUCCUCAACAUAGCCAUUGCUCUGACAGUGUUGUGAAGGGAGCAGAAGAGGAGAAACCUAAUCUCCGAACCCAACAACACCUAGCAACAGUAGAAAAAACUUUUAAACAAAAGUCUGGGUGGGAGAUAUACAACAACUUCCAAUUUCUGCUGAUCGGGAUUUCAGGGAGAAGAAGCUGCUUUCCCUCCUCUCUACUCUGUUUCCUGCAUGACUUCAGCUAUUGGCUGGUCCUGGGAAAGAAAGUGGGAAAAGCUUUUUCCUCUGUAUUCUUUUGGGCUGGAUAGUUUUUGAGAACUCGAAUCUGUCUUGGGCUGUGAGACAAGCCACUGGGUUCUUCAAAGGAUAAACUACCUACAUAGAGGACAUACCUUUGGUUAAAGGAGCUGCCGUCAGGAAAAUAAUACAUGCAAAUAAGAAAAAGUAACAAAGAAAAUAUUGGAUAAAGAAAGAAUAUUUUUGGGAAUACGAUGUCUCACGCCUGUAAUCCCAACACUUUGGGAGGCCGACCCGCGCGGAUCACGAGGUCAAGAGAUCGAGACCAUCCUGGCCAACAUGGUGAAACCCCGUCUCUACUAAAAAUACAAAAAUUAGCUGGGCGUGGUGGCAUGUGCCUGUAAUCCCAGUUACUCAGGAUGCUGAGGCAGGAGAAUCAUUUGAGCCCAGGAGGGGGAGGUUGCAGUGAGCUGAGGUCGUGCCACCACACUGCAGCCUGGCAACAGAGCAAGAUCAGUCUCAAAAAAAAAAAAAAGAAAAGAAAAAAGAAUACUCUUUUGUAUGAGUGUAUGUGAAAUAUUAAAAAUAUUAAAUGAAACACACUUUUAUUGAAAACUUAUUUGUUCUUUAUCUGAGAUUCCAACUUAACUGAGCAUCCUGUAUAUUUAUUUGCUAAAUGUGACAAAUAAAUAUAUCUUGCAAUAUAUGCUA